rnacentral:snRNA from 1 species
AUACUUGCUGGUGCCGGGGCCUCGUUGGUCACCGAGGACGAGACCCCGGUGGAGGCACGGGCAUUGCACUGUGCUCGCGUUGACCACUGCCACUACCCUAAACUGGGGCAGAUGGGGCAUGCAAAUUGC